GUUGGUUUAAUUAGUUGAAUUGUCAUUUUGUUGGUGAGAGUUCGAUUCUCCAUUACGCAAUCUCCUCUUCAAUUUAAGAGAAAAAGAUAUGCUACAAGGUGGAGAAUCGAACUACCGCUAACAGAAUGGAAGUUCAAAUACUUAAUCAAU